rnacentral:tRNA from 1 species
GAGGGUAUAGCUCAGUGGUAGAGUGUGUGACUAGCAUGCACGAGGUCCUGGGUUCAACUCCCAGUACCUCCU